CAGCAGUUUGUAGUAAACUACUGCUGCUCUGCAGAAACUUUGUCCUAGAAAACAACACAGUUAUUUGGUUUUGGCUAAAAACUGCAUAAUCAUAAUUAAAAGACCACAUGAAUGCUUUUACAGCAGAUUAAAAAAUUAACGGGGUGUGUUUUCAGAAACGCAGGCAUAAUAUUCUUUCUUUUUUUUGCUGUUUGUCCUCAGGCCUGUAUGAAACCGAGAAUGUUCAAAGUGGUUUUUGUCAGCAUCCCAUUCAUCGAACACUACGACACGUUGAAGGAAAUUAACCGCAGGCAACAAAGGAUAAAGAUAAAAGCUCAAAAAAUGCAGAAAAACUGCAGCUUCUCCAGUCCUUCUCAGACGCCUUCCUCCAUCAAACCACC